UACGUAGGGUGCGAGCGUUAAUCGGAAUUACUGGGCGUAAAGCGUGCGCAGGCGGUUUGUUAAGCCAGAUGUGAAAGCCCCGGGCUCAACCUGGGAACUGCGUUUGGUACUGGCAAGCUAGGGUACGGCAGAGGGGGGUGGAAUUCCACGUGUAGCAGUGAAAUGCGUAGAGAUGUGGAGGAACACCGAUGGCGAAGGCAGCCCCCUGGGCCGAUACUGACGCUCAGGCACGAAAGCGUGGGGAGCAAACAGG
rnacentral:rRNA from 1 species